rnacentral:rRNA from 1 species
GAUGAACGCUGACGGCGUGCUUAACACAUGCAAGUCGAACGAGGUCCAUGGAGCUUGCUCCGGGAGAUCUAGUGGCGAACGGGUGCAUAACACGUGAGAAACCUGCCUCAGUCUCUGGGAUAACAGUUGGAAACGACUGCUAAUACCGGAUGCCGUCACACCAUCACAUGGUGGAGUGACGAAAGACUUAUCGGAUUGAGAGGGUCUCGCGGCCUAUCAGCUAGUUGGAGAGGUAACGGCUCACCAAGGCAUCGACGGGUAGCUGGUCUGAGAGGAUGAUCAGCCACACUGGGACUGAGACACGGCCCAGACUCCUACGGGAGGCAGCAGUGGGGAAUCUUGCACAAUGGGCGAAAGCCUGAUGCAGCAACGCCGCGUGCGGGAUGAAGGCCCUCGGGUUGUAAACCCCUUUCAGCAGGAACGAAAAUGACGGUUCCUGCAGAAGAAGGUCCGGCCAACUACGUGCCAGCAGCCGCGGUAACACGUAGGGGCCAAGCGUUGUCCGGAUUUAUUGGGCGUAAAGAGCUCGUAGGCGGUUCGACAAGUCGGGUGUGAAAACUCCGGGCUCAACCCGGAGACGCCACCCGAUACUGUUGUGACUGGAGUCCGGUAGGGGAGUGGGGAAUUCCUGGUGUAGCGGUGAAAUGCGCAGAUAUCAGGAGGAACACCGGUGGCGAAGGCGCCACUCUGGGCCGGUACUGACGCUGAGGAGCGAAAACGUGGGUAGCAAACAGGAUUAGAUACCCUGGUAGU